ACCAUUGUUAAAAUACAAAAGAGUUCAAAGUUAAUAACACUGUUAAAGUUCACCCUAAAUUGAUAACUAGUUCUUUGCAAUAACAAUACCCAUCAUUGCUUUAGAUUGAGCCACUAAGCAAAGCCUUCACAUAAAUUUUCUACAACUCCCCUGACAAUGAAAAUAGAUAAUUUAUCUUCCACAUAUCACUAGAGAUGAUAUGUCCAGCCUUAACAAUUUCUUCAAAAGUCAAACCUUCAACUCCCUAAACUAUCUCAGCUACAUGCUUUUUCAACCUCGCAUCUUCAGCCAUGAAUUGAAAAC
rnacentral:lncRNA from 1 species